rnacentral:rRNA from 1 species
UACGUAGGGUGCAAGCGUUGUCCGGAAUUAUUGGGCGUAAAGAGCGUGUAGGCGGCCCGAUUAGUCCGCUGUGAAAGUCCAGGGCUCAACCCUGGAAUGCCGGUGGAUACUGUCGGGCUAGAGUCCGGAAGGGGCGAGUGGAAUUCCUGGUGUAGCGGUGAAAUGCGCAGAGUAUCAGGAGGAACACCAAUGGCGAAGGCAGCUCGCUGGGACGUGACUGACGCUGGAGAACG